UUCAGAAGAAAUUUUGUAAGAGUUCUUUAAAAUAAAACUCCAAAACUAACACUACUUUUCAAUUUUGGAUAAUAUAGCACUCUUAUUUGUUCCAUGUUUCGGAGGAUAUUGUUCUGUGAAAAUUGUAGGUGUCAUAUUCUAUCCGAUCGGAAAAGGUCAGCUUUAAGGUGAUUUUAGCAAUGGGCGUGCAUUGGAUUUUGUUGCUUCUCGUUUUGGUAAUAGUAAAUGCUAACGCUGCAACAACAGUUACUACUACUACUGUGGUCACUACAACUGCAGAUCUAAGCCAGAGCUUGAAUAGUAAAGCUACAGUUCUUACCAGCGACCUUUACCUUCACGUCUUGGUGGUUUGUGGAAUGUCUAUUAUGAGACUUGUUUGAAGACGUACAUACUGAUGUCACAAAAAUAAGCUGUUGAU